rnacentral:misc_RNA from 1 species
UUAUGCCGCUGUAAAUGAUUCUGGCUAUCAUCAGCUUAUCAGUCAUUGGUUAAAUACUCAUGCAACAAUAGAGCCAUUUGUGAUUGCUGCGAAUAGACAUUUGAGCGUACUACAUCCAAUAUUCAAGCUUUUACAACCUCAUUUCCGUGAUACCAUGUAUAUAAAUGCUUUGGCUCGGCAGAUACUCAUCAAUGCAGGUGGAAUACUUGAGCUGACAGUUUUUCCAGGGAAAUAUGCCAUGGAAAUGUCAUCUAUUGUCUAUAAAAGCUGGGUGUUCACCGAGCAAGGACUUCCUGCUGAUCUUCUUAAGAGAGGAAUAGCAGUGCCAGACUCAAGCCAACCCUAUGGCCUUAAACUUCUAAUUGAGGAUUAUCCUUUUGCUGUAGAUGGGCUUGAGGUUUGGGCAGCAAUCGAAGCCUGGGUUCAUGACUACUGUUCAUUCUAUUACUUAACAGAUGAAGUGAUCCGUGAUGACACUGAACUCCAGUCUUGGUGGAUGGAAGUUCGCAAUGAAGGUCAUGGUGACUUGAAAGAUGAACCAUGGUGGCCUCAGAUGCAGACACGCUCUGAACUCAUUGAAACAUGCACAACUAUCAUAUGGGUGGCUUCUGCUCUUCAUGCUGCUGUCAACUUCGGGCAGUAUCCUUAUGCUGGUUACCUCCCAAAUCGCCCAACAGUAAGUCGUCGAUUCAUGCCUGAGCCAGG